GGCCCAGUGGCGAGAGGUCUCGCACCCGCAUUGACUCAAUUGUUCCUCUCGACGUAUGGCGGGGAUUCUUGGUUCGAUUCCAGGCUGGGUCA